rnacentral:rRNA from 1 species
AACGCGAAGAACCUUACCAAGGUUUGACAUGCAGGGAAAAGCCGUAGAGAUAUGGUGUCCGUAAGGGUCCUGCACAGGUGGUGCAUGGCUGUCGUCAGCUCGUGUCGUGAGAUGUUGGGUUAAGUCCCGCAACGAGCGCAACCCUCGUCCUAUGUUGCCAGCGGAUAAUGCCGGGGACUCAUAGGAGACUGCCGGGGUCAACUCGGAGGAAGGUGGGGAUGACGUCAAGUCCUCAUGCCCCUUAUGUCUUGGGCUGCAAACAUGCUACAAUGGCCAGUACAAAGGGUUGCGAGACCGCAAGGUGGAGCGAAUCCCAAAAAGCUGGUCUCAGUUCGGAUUGGGGUCUGCAACUCGACCCCAUGAAGUCGGAGUCGCUAGUAAUCGCAGAUCAGCAACGCUGCGGUGAAUACGUUCCCGGGCCUUGUA